rnacentral:rRNA from 1 species
UACGGGGGGGGCAAGCGUUGUUCGGAAUUACUGGGCGUAAAGGGCUUGUAGGUGGCCAACUAAGUCAGACGUGAAAUCCCUCGGCUUAACCGGGGAACUGCGUCUGAUACUGGAUGGCUAGAGUGUGGGAGAGGGAUGCGGAAUUCCAGGUGUAGCGGUGAAAUGCGUAGAUAUCAGGAGGAACACCUGUGGUGUAGACGGCUUACUGGACCGCAACUGACGCUGAGACACGAAAGCGUGGGUAGCAAACAGG